rnacentral:rRNA from 1 species
GACGGAGGAGGCUAGCGUUGUUCGGAAUUACUGGGCGUAAAGGGCGCGUAGGCGGCCUGUUAAGUCGGACGUGAAAGCCCAGGGCUCAACCCUGGAGUUGCGUUCGGGACUGACGGGCUUGAGGAUGGAAGAGGAUGGUGGAAUUCCCAGUGUAGAGGUGAAAUUCGUAGAUAUUGGGAAGAACACCGGUGGCGAAGGCGGCCAUCUGGUCCAUACCUGACGCUGAGGCGCGAAAGCGUGGGGGGCAAACAGGAUUAGAAACCCCGUAGU